rnacentral:rRNA from 1 species
UGGGGAAUUUUGGACAAUGGGCGAAAGCCUGAUCCAGCAAUGCCGCGUGUGUGAAGAAGGCCUUCGGGUUGUAAAGCACUUUUGUCCGGAAAGAAAUCCUUGGCUCUAAUACAGUCGGGGGAUGACGGUACCGGAAGAAUAAGCACCGGCUAACUACGUGCCAGCAGCCGCGGUAAUACGUAGGGUGCGAGCGUUAAUCGGAAUUACUGGGCGUAAAGCGUGCGCAGGCGGUUUGCUAAGACCGAUGUGAAAUCCCCGGGCUCAACCUGGGAACUGCAUUGGUGACUGGCAGGCUAGAGUAUGGCAGAGGGGGGUAGAAUUCCACGUGUAGCAGUGAAAUGCGUAGAGAUGUGGAGGAAUACCGAUGGCGAAGGCAGCCCCCUGGGCCAAUACUGACGCUCAUGCACGAAAGCGUGGGGAGCAAACAGGAUUAGAUACCC